rnacentral:lncRNA from 1 species
AAAAACUUCAAAUACCAUCUUUGUGGUUUCACACUUUCUCACUUUAGUACCCUGUGGUUUAAAGUAUAUUAAUUUAGUGCCCCGUGGUUUCAUUUUUAUCUUUUUAUUAUCGAUUUCACUAAUUAUUUUUGUUAAAUUAGUGACAAAGUUAAAAUUAAAGGGUACUAAAGUGAUUAUCCGAUAAAGUUAGGCAGGGUAUCUGGAGUUUUUUUGUAUAUAAUUUAAUGAAAUAUUAACGAAAAAGCUGACGAAAAGAUAAAAAUAAAACCACAGGACACUAACUUGAUACACUUUAAACCACAGAGUACUAAAGCGAGAAAGUGCGAAACCACAGGGGUAGUAUUUUACUGU